UCCGAGUUGACCCCGGCAGUCUCCUAUGAGUCCCCACCAUCACGUGCUGGCAACAUAGAACGAGGGUUGCGCUCGUUGCGGGACUUAACCCAACAUCUCACGACACGAGCUGACGACAGCCAUGCACCACCUGUACACCGACAAAAGGGGCCCCAUCUCUGGGGCUUUCCGGCGUAUGUCAAACCCAGGUAAGGUUCUUCGCGUUGCAUCGAAUUAAGCCACAUACUCCACCGCUUGUGCGGGUCCCCGUCAAUUCCUUUGAGUUUUAGCCUUGCGGCCGUACUCCCCAGGCGGAGUGCUUAAUGCGUUAGCUGCGGCACAGAGAGGGUUGAAGACCUCCCCACACCUAGCACUCAACGUUUACGGCUGGGACUAC
rnacentral:misc_RNA from 1 species